rnacentral:lncRNA from 1 species
UUGUUUUCCUAAUCAACUGUUAGAAGGAACCCUCUUUAUUUUGAGCAUAGCUAAAUCCUCUUAAUAUGGUAUUUAGAGGUAACUCCUAUAACAAUUCAUACUUGGUGGAUCCAUUUUCCUCCAGUGAAAUUUUUCAGGCUGAUCAUUUUCAACUCUGGUACAUCACCAAGUCUGCGAUGAUCCCUUUUCUAUUGACCAUUUUCUCUCUCCACAUGUCUCAAAGAUGUUUACCACCCCAUCCAUGCACAGUUCAGCCAACCAUCACUACCAUUGCCUCUAGCGUAAUCAAAUUGACCCAGUCCUGAAAUUUCACCGUCAUCAGAGGUUCCAUCUGCUGCCGCACCACCUGUCUCUCCCAUUGGCCACUUGCUUCAACUGGCGCAUGAGGGGAGCAUUAGAAUGUGUAUUACUAUGUCUAGGUUUAGUGUAAAUGUCUAGGUUCUUCAAUAUAUCAUGUAAAUAAUGUGAUUUAGGAAAAUUAUCUUUGUAUUUAUUGCAUUCAUUUUAUAAAUAUCAAGCUGUGGUAUAGUUGGGAGUUGG